rnacentral:lncRNA from 1 species
AAUUCCAGAGAUUAGUCGGUUAAGAGAAAUCAUGAAGUAUGAACAUAAUGCAAUAGAAUUAUGAUCUUCAGUUACCUACCCUUUCACUUGAACUCUAAUUCUGCUAAAUUUAUCAAAUUGAUGCGAUGGAUGAUCCAUAAUCAGCAAGCCUUAUUAAGUUAUGAACAUUACGUUCCCCAUGCCUAUUUAAUCAUGAUAAGAGGGAGAUAAAUUCUUCCGGUACAUUGAGACCUAUUACUUACAUUUAAUGCAAGAAUUCAAUUAAGUUAUGUACCAUUGUACCUUAUAAUUCCUCAGUAUCAGCGAAUUGGAUUCAUGUAUAGAGUGUUAUCCUUAUGUAACUUUGACGAAGUGUCUUCAGCUUUCCAACUUUGUUAUUAUAACUUAGUUCGGGCCUAUGUAAGUUUGAGUUGCUUGUUAAGAGUAAUGAGCCGUGUUUCGUUAAGGACUAUCAGUUAUUCAUGUCGACCUUAAGAACAGUAACAUUAUGUUUAUCACCAAGAAAUUCUCCAAUCUUUUAGCAUCAUUACCGAGGACCGGUUCAGAAUCACAGAAGUCAAAUUAGCAAUUAAGGAUCCCUAGAAAUUAAGUUCAAACUCUCGCUCGUCUUGUUAACCUGUCAAGCAGCAUGGUUAAGGUACCACGAACGUUGGAAACGUUACUGUAAUCAAUUAAGUUCAUCUUUCUUUAUAAGGUCUUACCAUUUCAAUUUGGAUAAAAAUCCAAAACCAUCCAGAGAUAUAAGAGGUAACCUCGAUGAACAUCGAUGGAAUGAGAUAAUAGUAAGUGAUAAAAAGUGAAGUGUUGCAGACAUGUUAGAUGGUUGUAAAGUAUUAUGUAUACAGUGGUGCGCCUGUCGUCACAAAACGAUGCAAGUGUUGUUUUGUGAUAUCUAUGGUACGAGAAGUAAUAAUAAAAGCAAUAACACCGAAUAAGAUGAGACGAUGUGUGACAAUGUCAGGGAAUUUGUAGACGAAGACUGUAAUGACGCGUAGAGAGAAUGCCAGUAAGUAGUCGAAUCAGAGUGCGCAGCCGGGAAGUGGUUGAGAAUGUAGUUAGUAGAUUGACUUGUAGUUCAACAACUCUUUGAGAGAGGAAAAUUUUAUUCCAAAGAAUUGAAAGUGGGGAACCAUAAAAUGAUUAAAGAUCGUAUGACGAGUAAGUUACGCAAAUGUUCAUGUUUGGACCUGAGAUUGUAAGUAUAGAAUAACCUUGAGAGCCAAGUUUGUGAUGGUAAAACGAUUCAUUUGAGAAGUUUGAUGUGGUGAACUAGUAAGAUUAAGUAUGCUCCGGCGUUGAAUUGAAAAGUGCAAAAGGAGAAAAGUUGCUCCGUGAGCGUUUAAGCUGAGGAAAAGUAACAGAGGGAGCUAAUAUAAGAUGAGUAUGUAUCUAAAAGUUGUAUUAUGUGCUGAGAUUAUGAGUUCAACUUCAUGGAAUAAACGAGUAGGAUUUCCAAAAGUAUCAUAAGUGAACGCCAACGCAGUGAAGAAUGACAAUUACUAACCUUGAACGAUAAAUCAUGAUCAAUUAAGAAACGAAAUC